GAUGAAGAACGUAGCGAAAUGCGAUACGUAAUGUGAAUUGCAGAAUUCAGAGAAUCAUCGAAUCUUUGAACGCACAUUGCACUCCUUGGUAUUCCGAGGAGUAUGCCUGUUUCAGUAUCAUGAGCACUCUCACAUCUAACCUUUGGGUUAAAAUGUGGAAUUGGGAUGCGCCGGUUAUUAUAACGGCCCUCCUAAAAUUCAGUUCUUGGCUGCUUCCUACUACAGCAGUUUGGCCUAAUAGUUUUGAGUCUUCGAUUCAAAUCUUUGGCUAACAUUUGCUUCAGGAUGUCAGUCUUGAUAUACAGAAAUCUCAUUCAAACUUUGAUCUGAAAUCAGGUAGGGCUACCCGCUGAACUUAAGCAUAUCAAUAAGCGGAGGA
rnacentral:misc_RNA from 1 species